rnacentral:tRNA from 1 species
GAAGUAUUAAGUAAAGGAUGAAAGCUGCUAACUUAUCAUUAUAGCGGUUAAAUUCCGUUUAUACUUCU